UGCGUAGGCGGCGCGGUAAGUCGGGUGUGAAAUCUCGGAGCUUAACUCCGAAACUGCAUUCGAUACUGCCGUGCUUGAGGACUGGAGAGGAGACUGGAAUUUACGGUGUAGCGGUGAAAUGCGUAGAUAUCGUAAGGAAGACCAGUGGCGAAGGCGGGUCUCUGGACAGUUCCUGACGCUGAGGCACGAAGGGUCAGGGAGGCAAACG
rnacentral:rRNA from 1 species